rnacentral:rRNA from 1 species
UACGUAGGGGGCUAGCGUUAUCCGGAAUUACUGGGCGUAAAGGGUGCGUAGGUGGUUUCUUAAGUCAGAGGUGAAAGGCUACGGCUCAACCGUAGUAAGCCUUUGAAACUGAGAAACUUGAGUGCGGGAGAGGAGAGUAGAAUUCCUAGUGUAGCGGUGAAAUGCGUAGAUAUUAGGAGGAAUACCAGUUGCGAAGGCGGCUCUCUGGACUGUAACUGACACUGAGGCACGAAAGCGUGGGGAGCAAACAGGAUUAGAUACCCUGGUAGUCCCUGAG